GCUCCAGCAUGGCUGCCUUAGGGACCUGGCUAUCCAUAGGUGUCCGGAGGUUGCACAGUAGUGCAGUGGCGCGGGCCGGCAGCCAGUGGCGACUCCAGCAAGGGCUGGCUGCCAAUCCUUCCGGCUAUGGGCCCCUCACGGAGCUUCCUGACUGGUCUUUCGCGGGUGAGCCUUGAUGUCAAGGUUUUUUUUCUUUUUCCUCUGAGACCACCCGGUUGUAGGGAUUGGGGGGCGUGUCUGGGAAAAUACUGAACCUUUUACUUAGGCAAGAGUUCGAAGCUCUAAUUUUGUCUGACUACAUAGCUGAGUGUUAGUUCACCCCUGAAGUUUUAGCUUUGGAGAGUUGAGGCAGAGGGAUUGCUGUGAGGCAAAUGCUAUGUAGGGAACCCCUGAUUAUCCUGAACUACAGAAUGAGACCCUGUGUAUCAAUAAAUAAUAAAAAGGCUAAGGAAAGUAAUCUGUAGGGGAUCGUGCCCAGGAGAUACAAGGUAAUUCUAACUUGGGCUGUCCUGGGGGCUGGAAGUGUGUGUGACUUUUAUCCCCUCAGAAGUGGUAUUUUGAGAAUUUGGUUGCAAAUACACAAGGAAUUCUUUGAAAAGCUGCUGAAGAGAACACUGAAGAUCCCUACAACUCUGAAUAUGGCAGACUCAAUACAGGGAAGUCUCUUUUAAAAAAAAAAAAAGCGAAUGAGCUGUCGACACGCCUCGAGAUACGCCUCUAAUGCAGUGACUGUUCUUCCGGAGGAUUUGGGAUCGAUUCUCAACACCCACAUGGUGACUCAAAAUUGCUUGUAACUCCAGUUCCAAGAUCUCUGAUGUCAUCUUUAAGCUUCCACCUGUACCAUGCACCCACACGGUGUUCAGACAUACAUGCAAGGAAAACACCCAAUCACAUUAAGAUAAAACUUUUAAAAGGGUAAUGACACAUACCUGCAAUCAGCACUCAGGAGGCAGAAGCACUCAGAGCUACAUUGUCAAACCUCGCCUCAAAAAAAUCAAAAGUGGGGAAGAAGAAAAAAAAAAAAGCCCUGCAUUUCAUUAUACAGUGAGAUGAAGUUUAGCAAAGACUUACACUGAGUGAAGGGUUUCUGAAGGAAAAAUUAAUUCAGCAUGGCAGACCACCCUAGGUCCGUGCUAUUGACAGGGUUAAAUGAUAGGACCAUGCCUAGGAACUCCGUUUUCAUGAUUCUGUUGUACCUCACCACGGAUGCUAGAUGAGUUUCAGCUGUGGUUGUGAACUGGGUUCCUCUUCAGUAUUAUUUUUGGUGAGCAGAACUGGGACCUGAACCUAGGGCCUCACACAUGCUAUCCCCGACCCCAACCAUAGUCUGUGUGAACUGAAGAGGAAAGCUAGAGAUUUACUCUCUUCUUAAUUCCUAUCACACCAGUGUUUGGACAAGAUGCCCAGACCACAUUGAACACUUUGCCUUUCUUUCAAUUUUAUCUGUAGAUGGCCGCCCUGCUCCCCCAAUGAAAGGCCAACUUCGAAGAGAAGCUCAAAGGGAGAAGCUUGCAAGACGAGUUGUGCUGCUGACACAGGAAAUGGAUGCAGGAUUACAGGCAUGGAAGCUCAGGCAGCAGAAACUGCAGGAAGAAAGGAAGCAGAAACAUGACCUUAAACCUAAAGGGACGUCACUGAGGAACCCACUUCCAAAUCAAUAAAAAGCUCCUGUCCCACUUUCCCAGCCUCUCUGGCUUCCUUUUCUACAUCUGAAUAUUUGUUUGUUUGUUUGUUUUCUUUUUUCUUUUUUUCGGAGCUGGGGACCGAACCCAGGCCCUUGCGCUUCCUAGGCAAGCGCUCUACCACUGAGCUAAAUCCCCAACCCCACAUCUGAAUGUUUUAUCCCUGGUAGACCGAAGUCAUUUUUCUCCCGCCAUUUGUAUUGAUAGCAAAAGACCUCAGGCACCGGGAGGAACUUAAAACCACUGCCUGCCAGGCUUGGCAAAAUGCUUUAGUCCUCGCUCCGUUCCAGUUCAGCCAGAUCUUGCUCUGGAAUUAUUUCGCCCCUGGUGCUGAAGAACGCGCCCAGAGCCUUACAAAAGCUAAGCUCGCCACCACCCUCCCACUUAGCAUGCUUGGGAUUUUAAUCCUCUUCCUUGCUGGUCCGAGGGCUAACCCAGCUAAGAGCAGCAACUGCUCUGUGAGAGAAGAUAAGGGGCAGCAGCAGCUUUCCUGGUUUUCCCCCUCAUGCCUCUGUCACUCACAGCCCAUACACAGCUCAGAUGCUUACAGUUGGCACUCAAUAAAUGUUCUGUUGAAAAGGC
rnacentral:lncRNA from 1 species